UACGUAGGGUCCGAGCGUUGUCCGGAAUUACUGGGCGUAAAGAGCUCGUAGGUGGUUUGUCGCGUUGUCCGUGAAAACUCACAGCUUAACUGUGGGCGUGCGGGCGAUACGGGCAGACUAGAGUACUGCAGGGGAGACUGGAAUUCCUGGUGUAGCGGUGGAAUGCGCAGAUAUCAGGAGGAACACCGGUGGCGAAGGCGGGUCUCUGGGCAGUAACUGACGCUGAGACGCGAAAGCGUGGGGAGCAAACAGG
rnacentral:rRNA from 1 species